rnacentral:misc_RNA from 1 species
GGAAGUAAAGGUCGUAACAAGGUCUCCGUUGGUGAACCAGCGGAGGGAUCAUUACAGGACUCGCAAGACUCCUACAACCCUGUGAACUUAACUAUAAGCACGUUGCUUCGGCGGGUGUCUCGGAGGGGGUUCUCCCUCCCCGAGACGCUAAACCCGCCGGCAGCCUACUAUACUCUGUCUCCUUGCGUUGGCAUCUCGAGUACAAUCAAACAAGUUAAAACUUUCAACAACGGAUCUCUUGGUUCU